GUCGAUAGCAGGAAGAUUACAGAUUAUUUUCUUCUUUGUUCAACCGGUUCCUUAUUCAUGUGACACAAGCAGGAACGAAUGUCAUCGAGGCAAAACAACUUGUGUGGAAUGAACUGCAGUGGAAUAUGCUUUAUGUUAGCUAGCUUGUAUAUUUUAUGUCUGAAUUUGAUCAGAUAGCAAAUGUGAACCACAUGAUGAUUAAUAAUGGAAGAUCGAAUGUGGUUGUCGACAUUAUUUUUAGCCAAAUGAGCUUGGCUGGAAAUGAUCAUGGGACAAUACACUGAUUGUGCUCAAGAGCUUUUGUACAGUAAGUAACGUUAAAUUAGCUCACAACAAGUACAACACUCAAUGUCAACUGUGUUGCACUGUUUUCACUUUUCACUAUCUUCUUUUUCUCCCGGUGUGUAGGGAUCGUAAAUUUGUAUAGAUCAUUGGGCAUACCUCACACCUUUUAAUGAUUGACAUGCAUUUUGAUUACUUUUUCACAAGCUUUGAAAACUGAAGGUUUUGUCUGUAACUCUGCCUAUUGUUGCACUCUCUGAGGCAGAGGAUGAGCAUGGAGAAGAGCUGUCAGAAGAUGAAGAGGCUGAAGAGGAGGAUGGACCGAUCGAUGAAGAAGCCCAACUUAAGGCAAGCAUGGGACUGCCUGUGGAGUUCAUAAGUUCCUCUGCACAGAAAAGAGCUGGGACAAAGUUGAUGAGGAAGAAUGCCAUCCACUGGGAAGCAGCUCCUGAGAAUCUGGAUGAAGAAGAGCUACAUUCACUCCAGGUGGAGAAGAAUGAUCCCACUGUUGAAAGCACUAAGGCUGCGUUUGAUUUGAUCUCAGUGAGGGGCCAGGAGGAAAGCAGAACCUCCACCCUCCCAGGCAAAAGUAGUGCACUAUAUAGGGAAUAGGGUGCCAUUUGGGACAUAUCCUGUGAGAACAAAGACGGGAGACAAAAACCAAUAUGUACCACUUUGGAAUCGAUAGCCACUUGUGCAAAGCCCUUUCUCUUCCCCCAGAGCAGUGGAUAGGUCUCGUCACUGAGGAGGGCUUCCCUCACGCCUCCAGGUGAGAUGCCCAGGAGGUGGCCACUUUUUAGGGCCUUCACACACUCCUCCUGGGGCCCGUGGAUGACACUGAACACCUCCAACAGCAGCUUGAACCCUACAGAGAACAAUAAAAGGUCCUGCUUUUAGGGUCUAAGUAGCUCAUGUAGUAAGAAUGGACUACGGCAGCUGUAGGCUAUACAAUUUACUGAUCAACUAGAUACAGAGGGCUGAAUGUAACAUCUCACUUUUAUAUUUAGAUACUUGGAAAUUAAACUGUGAAGAUCUUACCUGGAACUUUGAACAGAAAGUAAUCAGUGACUGAGUGAACAAUCCGUCCCUUUUGAAUGAUGACCUUUGCCAGAAAGUAAUAAUAGUCAAUGGGAAUAGCCCCAUGAUAAUAGACUAUAAGAGCUGCUCCUUCAUCUGGAAUCUUCUCCAUACCAUGGAUUUCAUAUCCUGUUUUGAAAUAGACACAUUUAUAUAAGCAUUGGCAAUAGUCCUUGACUAAUCAAGCAGCGCACCCAUUGAAACAGCCGAUGGAGAGCCGACUCCCUGUCGUGACCCAGGGGAGUCAGAGUUUGGAAGAAGGCUGAAGUGACGUCAGGCGGGCACUAGUGAAGUGAUCGAUCUGAUUGGGCAGACUUUUGUCAGUGGUAGCUGGCCAGUGUGAUUAGGGCCAACAGCAAGCAGACCAUGUCAGUGGAAAUGAUGAUAAACCUUGUGAUGGUGGUAAUUGCAAAAGAGCUGCCUCUUCAAACACCAAGCCCACUGAGUCAAGAGACACAGGAUGGGUGUUCCCAGAAAAAUAACAAUGAAUCAAGUGAGGGAAGAGCAUCUAAUAGUGAUGGUGAAGAAACGCCACAUAGAAGAAUUGCAAAAGUAAAGCGGAGUCAUGAACUGGAUGUGGAGGAGAACCCUCAGAUGUCUGUAGAGGAAGCCUGGGAUAAACUGUGAUUAAAGCGCAGCCACGACCCCAUGUACGUGAGCAUUACUACAUCAGACUUAAGCCCCAGUCACCACCAGGGUGGGAAGGCUGGGAGGAAUAGGAAGCUACAUGGAGGUAGGAGAGCAUCCUGCCACAUCAACAAGCACACCUUCUUUACUGAAGAGGGAGAUGCCACAGAGCCCAAGCUGAGCAAGACCUUUCAAAAAGUUCAGAGAUUCCUCCAGAAAGUUCAGAAAGAUAAUGACACAGCUGUCCCAGACACACCAGUUGACCAGGCAAACAGGGGGAGCCCUGCUUGUCCAUUUGCAGAGGGAAAAGAAGAAAGACUGGAGGAAGAGGAGCAGGAAGAUAGGAGGGGGGAAUACCCCUCUGGAGUUGGAUAGUACUGAGCAACCCUCUCAUCAGAACCUCUUCACCAGAAUAGAAGAUGAAAAGGAUGAUGAGAUUAAAUUCAGAAGAGAGGUGUACUCACUGGACAUACCAGACUACUUAGUUCCCGGAGCACCUGAACACAAUAACACAGAGGCUACUGGGAAGAAAUAGAAGAACAAUAAUACCAAGAAAAGAGGGAAAUGUGGAGUGAUGCCAGCUGAGAUUGCAGUGAAGCCCGAGCUGGCUAAGUACUGGGCCCAGCACUACCGCCUCUUCUCCAGGUUCGAUGAGGGCAUCAAAUUGGAACAAGUUGAGUCACAGAGCAAACAGAACACACACACACACACUUCAGGAAACACAACCAAUUUCUUCAUACAGGCUCAAGCAGAAAGGGUUAGUCGUAUUUUGGAACGACUUUACGUUAUUAUUGUUGUUAACGUGUUAAUAUUUCUCUAGUUUGAGAACAACUAUUGUAGUCUCCCAACCACUUCUAUUCAUGCAGCCCAAAUGGAGUGUUGUCAAAUGUGAAUCAGGAAUGCACUUUAUUCUGAAAAGAAAAGGAUUUGCCUCAAGGUGACUGAAUGUUAUCUUUCUCUUCAGUUGAGAAACGGAUGGCUGUUAUGUCCAAGGUAAAAGCUACAGUUUUGCUGCUCUUGAAGUCUAACAUCAUGUUGUUUUCAGAGAAGCAGAGGGAAAGAGAGGCAGGGAGGUUGAGAUGGUGGUGUAGUGGGUGCAUGGAUUUGCUGGCUGGCAGACAGGGCACUCCGCUUCUUGUCUGUAGGGAGAAGUGCUGACGCCAGUGAAGCACACCUCACACUUCACCCUGUGUCACAUGACAUGACAGCAUCAGGCUCUCUCCCUGUCUCCCAGCAGAGCAACUCUUUCAUGACUCUUGAGUCUCUCCUUUCCUUUACUCUCUCUCCCUUGCAGCUGAAACAGGUGUCACAGGUUCUGUUCCGAGUGCAUCUGCCCACCUGUCAGUUUCUCCUCCCCGGGAGCUGUACUCAAUUUGUCUCUUCUCUCCCUUGGUUAAUUGUUUGCAGGAAAUAUUUCAAUAUAACAGUCCUAGUGAUGACACAAUUGUAAAAAAAAAUUGGGGGGUGUAUCUACCAAAGGUCUGUACAGAUCCGGAAAGAUACAUCCGUUGUUUUACUCUGCCUGUAAACACGCUGGAUGCUUCAGAAUCCAUUGAAGAGCUUGAACGAUUCAUUGACGAGAGAUACUUAUGAACUAAACAUGUCGCUGGUUUCAGAGGAUUCAAACACUGUUAAGGACAACAAACCCAAUCAACAAACCAAAGCCAAGUUGGCCAAGCGGUAUCAACGAUGGCAUAAAACCAUCCCCAAGCAAGAGGGCGUGAGUGGGGAGAGGUUUACGAUAUGGAUGUUGACUUGUUGAAAUCCAUCAAUGAAAGGCUUGCCAAACUUGAUAUCUUGGAUAUACUACGAGAGGACCUCAAUGCAUUAUGUGACAGUCUAGAAUUCAGCCAAAGUCAGAUUGAUGAUCUAAGGAAAGAGAACACAGUGCUGAAAGGUACUGUAGACUCUAUUCAUAGCAAGGUGGAGGUGGUGCAAAGGGAGAACAAACAACUUAAAGAAACCUUGCUUGAUGUACAGUGUCAAUCAAUACGGGGAAACUAAUCUUUUCAGGGAUGCCAGAGAAUGACAACAGCAAAAGCUGUGAGGACACUGUCCGAGACUUUAUGUCAACUCAACUAAAACUGCCCACAGAUAUCGUGCGUAAUGUCACUGUCUCCAGAGUCCAUAGAAUGAGUAAGGCCUCUGGGAAAAGGCCACGGGCUAUUGCAUGUUUUGAACAUUGUAAGCAAAUGGAAAUGGUGAAGAGCUGGGGCAGAGAACUCAGAAACACAGAUUUUGGAUUGAAUGAUCACUUCCCCACGGAUAUCCCAUCAUGAAGGAAAAGCGUUCCCGGAAUCAACGAGUCUCCUUGGUGAUGGAUAAACUUUAUAUCAACAGGCAACUGUAUCGGGACUCUAGAGUAACUCACUGGCUAUUUGAAUCCAACUGUAUCGGGACUCUAGAGUAACUCACUGGCUAUUUGAAUCCAACUGUAUCGGGACUCUAGAGUAACUCACUGGCUAUUUGAAUCCAACUGUAUCGGGACUCUAGAGUAACUCACUGGCUAUUUGAAUCCAACUGUAUCGGGACUCUAGAGUAACUCACUGGCUAUUUUAAUCCAACUGUAUCGGGACUCUAGAGUCUCUCACUGGCUAUUUGAAUCCAACUGUAUCGGGACUCUAGAGUAACUCCCUGGCUAUUUGAAUCCAACUGUAUCGGGACUCUAGAGUAACUCACUGGCUAUUUUAA